rnacentral:lncRNA from 1 species
UGUUCGUGUUGCCUGGGGGAAGCUACGGAGUCAGACCGAGCUCUUGCCAGGCGUGUGCGUUACCCUCAGGCUCGUUGAUCACUUGAUGUAGCCUCACUUUUAGCAGGGAGAGCUUAACGCUUAAUCGGACAUGCCAUGCUUGGUGUGGCAGGCAGCACAGAAUUGCAUCCAAACAACUUGCCCCAUGUCACACACCGUGCUGAGCACAAAGGCUGCAUCAUGCCUGAUUUACAGCACACACAGGAAACGACCAAAUAAUUUGGAAGUAUUGCAGAGUUGCUCUGUGCAAAAUUGGUUUGAAGUGAGGAGACUAGUUAUAGUUGCCUGGACUUCUGUUCGAUGUGUUGAUAUAAAAGAGGGGUAG